AUGUGCAGUCAGAUUGUUCUGAGUGAGGAACCUGGCAAAGUCAAAUGGCUUUUGACUAGCUCUGGUCAAUUCUUUGUUAAAUCUCUCUAUCAAUAUAUUAUUGCUAGGAGAGUAGUGUUCCGUUUUAAGUUUCUUUGGAAACUGAAGGUACCUUUGAAAAUUAAGGCUUUUAUAUGGUUAGUUAUCAAAGGGAGGAUCCUGACCAAGGACAACUUGUGUAAAAAAGGCUGGAAAGGCAUCAAGAAAUGUGAGUUUGUGGUGCCAAUGAAUGUAUUGGUCAUCUAUUUUUCACUUGCUCUUUUGCUCGGUUUCUUUGGAAUGUAG
rnacentral:rRNA from 1 species